CGGAGGGUGCAAGCGUUAUCCGGAUUCACUGGGUUUAAAGGGAGCGUAGGUGGCUUUGUAAGUCAGUGGUGAAAUAUUGCGGCUCAACCGCAAAACUGCCAUUGAUACUGCUUAGCUUGAAUCACGUCGAGGUGGAUGGAAUAAUACAUGUAGCGGUGAAAUGCUUAGAUAUGUAUUAGAACACCGAUUGCGAAGGCAGUUCACUAGGCGUGUAUUGACACUGAGGCUCGAAAGCGUGGGGAUCAAACAGGAUUAGAUACCCUGGUAGUCCACGCCCUAAACGAUGUAAACUCGACAUUAGCGAUAUACUGUUAGUGUCCAAGCGAAAGCGUUAAGUUUACACCUGGGAAGUACGACCGCAAGGUUG
rnacentral:rRNA from 1 species